AGGCGACGACGGGUAGCCGGCCUGAGAGGGCGACCGGCCACACUGGGACUGAGACACGGCCCAGACUCCUACGGGAGGCAGCAGUAGGGAAUAUUGGGCAAUGGGCGAAAGCCUGACCCAGCGACGCCGCGUGAGGGAUGAAGGUCUUCGGAUUGUAAACCUCUUUCAGUAGGGAAGAAGCGAAAGUGACGGUACCUAAAGAAGAAGCACCGGCUAACUAUGUGCCAGCAGCCGCGGUAAUACAUAGGGUGCAAGCGUUGUCCGGAAUUAUUGGGCGUAAAGAGCUCGUAGGUCGUUUGUCGCGUCGAUUGUGAAAAUCUGAGGCUCAACCUCAGACCUGCAGUCGAUACGGGCAAACUAGAGUGUGGUAGGGGA
rnacentral:rRNA from 1 species